rnacentral:rRNA from 1 species
GGGACACGUGGUAUCCUGUCUGAAUAUGGGGGGACCAUCCUCCAAGGCUAAAUACUCCUGACUGACCGAUAGUGAACCAGUACCGUGAGGGAAAGGCGAAAAGAACCCCGGCGAGGGGAGUGAAAAAGAACCUGAAACCGUGUACGUACAAGCAGUGGGAGCCUCUUUUAUGGGGUGACUGCGUACCUUUUGUAUAAUGGGUCAGCGACUUAUAUUCUGUAGCAAGGUUAACCGAAUAGGGGAGCCGAAGGGAAACCGAGUCUUAACUGGGCGUUAAGUUGCAGGGUAUAGACCCGAAACCCGGUGAUCUAGCCAUGGGCAGGUUGAAGGUUGGGUAACACUAACUGGAGGACCGAACCGACUAAUGUUGAAAAAUUAGCGGAUGACUUGUGGCUGGGGGUGAAAGGCCAAUCAAACCGGGAGAUAGCUGGUUCUCCCCGAAAGCUAUUUAGGUAGCGCCUCGUGAAUUCAUCUCCGGGGGUAGAGCACUGUUUCGGCAAGGGGGUCAUCCCGACUUACCAACCCGAUGCAAACUGCGAAUACCGGAGAAUGUUAUCACGGGAGACACACGGCGGGUGCUAACGUCCGUCGUGAAGAGGGAAACAACCCAGACCGCCAGCUAAGGUCCCAAAGUCAUGGUUAAGUGGGAAACGAUGUGGGAAGGCCCAGACAGCCAGGAUGUUGGCUUAGAAGCAGCCAUCAUUUAAAGAAAGCGUAAUAGCUCACUGGUCGAGUCGGCCUGCGCGGAAGAUGUAACGGGGCUAAACCAUGCACCGAAGCUGCGGCAGCGACGCUUAUGCGUUGUUGGGUAGGGGAGCGUUCUGUAAGCCUGUGAAGGUGUGCUGUGAGGCAUGCUGGAGGUAUCAGAAGUGCGAAUGCUGACAUAAGUAACGAUAAAGCGGGUGAAAAGCCCGCUCGCCGGAAGACCAAGGGUUCCUGUCCAACGUUAAUCGGGGCAGGGUGAGUCGACCCCUAAGGCGAGGCCGAAAGGCGUAGUCGAUGGGAAACAGGUUAAUAUUCCUGUACUUGGUGUUACUGCGAAGGGGGGACGGAGAAGGCUAUGUUGGCCGGGCGACGGUUGUCCCGGUUUAAGCGUGUAGGCUGGUUUUCCAGGCAAA